rnacentral:lncRNA from 1 species
GUGAUUAUAUAUAGAUAUGAGAUUUGUGCAUAUUUUUGGACAUGAAAAGGUGAUUGCACAGAAAUUAAUCACCAAGAUUUUCUUUUUGAGAAUCUCUGGAACUUGUAUUAAUGUAAUGUUAUCAUUUAAUGAUUAUUUUGGUAAGCAAGGGGUAUAUUACCCUCACAUUCAUAAUUUCAAAAAGAUGAAGUAUUUUUUCAGCAAAAAUUAUUCAUUUGAAACUAAAUAUGUGCUAUUCAAUUACUUAAAAUAUAACAAAAGAAAUACAUAUUUUUGGCAGAGUUCUAGGUGAGGAAAAUAACAAAGGGACAUUUUUAGAAUAUAUGGGAUUCCUUGUUCCCUCAUCAGUUCAUUCAGAAAAAUGUCAAAUAACAGAAGUAUUACUGCCACCAGGUCUGGGUGAAAUGUUACCAAGGGCUUUCCCACGAUCUGACCACUCCCCUGCUGCAGUCAGGAACAAAGAAGCCUUUGCCACACAAAGGUCUGCUCUGUGAGUGAUUCAGAGUGUGUGCUGGCCCUCGCCCCUAUGAGGACUCAAGGACUCAGCCCUGGGGUCCACAAAAAUGGUAUCAUUUCAGCUACAACUUAAAAAGCCUAAAACAAGUCAGGUUUGCUUUGCUUAGGUUUCAUGUGUCUCGAUUUGAUGGAUAUCCACACAUGCAAAUAUACUAAGAGAAAUUUACCUAGUAAUUCCUCCCCUUUGAAGAUAUGGAAAUCACUUUGUCUCAUGGCUCACAUGUCACUAAAUCAAUUCACUGAAUUUCACUGACAGGGAAACAUUUUCAGUCUGUGGUCUAUGUCCAUAUGCUCUUCCAUUUUACAGUUUUCCAAACGUCAUAGAGGCAUGGUUUCUGUUGCCACAACUAAUACUAAACUACAACUUCAGUGCGGGAUAGAGUUAGGGUAGGGCUGGGAACAGGGAUGUGUGGGAAAUAAGCCAGUACUAGUGCAAAGAAGUAAACUAAUUCAUGUCAAUUUUUGCCUUGAAAAUAUAUAUCACAUUUUCCAAUAUUAAUGGAACAAUAACAAAAAUAAUUGUGAAAUAGAGUACAGUGAAACUGUCAAUUAGAUCUAGAUAUAAAAGUAGUACAGGCAACAUUUUCUGAGGUCAAUAUAAGAAAAUAAGCUACUACCGGCUGGGCACAGUGGCUCACACUUGUAAUCCCAGCACUUUGGGAGGCCGAGGCGGGCGGAUCACGAGGUCAGGAGAUCGAGACCGUCCUGGCUAACACAGUGAAACCCUGUCUCUACUAAAAAUACAAAAAAAAAAAAAAAAAAUUAGCCAGAGUUGGUGGCAGGUGCCUGUAGUCCCAGCUAUUCAGGAGGCUGAAGCAGGAGAAUGGCGUGAACCCGGGAGGUAGAGCUUGCAGUGAGCCGAGAUCGCGCCACUGCACUCCAGCCUGGGCAACAGAGCAAGACUCAGUCUCAAACAAAAAACAAAGAAAAGAAAAUAAGCUACUACCACUUUUAAUUGUCUCUCAUAAAUAAUUUGAUGUAGGAGUGAAUUCAAAAUCAUUUAGAAGAAUAUAAUAUGACAAUGACAAAUUAUACACACCGUAAUAUACAGGAUACUUCUGGAUCUGUACUCAGAGUAUAACUCCUAAUUUUAAAUACUAAUGUAUAUUGUCUUAAAAACAAAGAGCCUAAUUAACUAGGUAUUCAAACCUAAAUUUUAAAAAGACCACAACAUGAACACAUGCACACAUAUACACAAACACAUACAAACACAACUAAAGUAAGCAGGAGGAAUUAGGAAAUAUUAAACUAAAAAUUUGUUGAACAGAGAAUGAAAAUGUAAAGGCUGAUUUUUUUUUUGUAAAAAUAAUUAGUAAACAGAUAAACCACUAACUUAAAAAAUAAAGGAUAAAGUGCAAUUAAAAUAGGAAAUGUUAAUCAGAGGUAAUUAGAGCUAAAAAGACACUAAAGAAAUGGGAAAUAAAUCCUUGUUAUACCUGAGGGAAAUGUACUUGAAAAUAUGAAACAAAAUUUAACAGUUUCAACAUAAAUAUAAAUUUCCAAACAUCAAUCCAGAAGACAAAUCUAAACGAACCUAUUACUAACAACAACAAAAAAAGAAGUUGUCUAAAAUUCACUUACUCCCUACUCCACACAGAAAGAAACAGAAGACAUUAUCCCCUGAAAUUUACUUAAACAUUUAAUUAAAUAUAUUGCAAUGCUGUAUAAACCAUUUCUUAGUCCAUUUGAGCUACUGUUAAAAAAUAUCAUAAACUAGGUGGCUUAUAAGCAACAUAAAUUUAUUUCUCACAGUUCUGGAGGCUGAGAGGUUUAAGAGCAUGGCACCGGCAGCUUGGUUCAUAGAUGACCAUCUUCUUAGUGUCCUCACAUAGUGGAAGGCACUACCAACCUCGUUGGGACCCCUUUAAUUGUGCUGUUUUAAUGUACAAUAAAAUGUAUUAAAAACUAAAUAAUUACAUAAAUAUAUUUGUUUUCUUUUUUAUGGGUAGUUUGUUUUUCAGUGGAGAAGUGCUUGAAGCAAUGUCAUAUGAUAACGUUAUAGUGAAAGUUUUAUGCAAGUUCAUCAAGAAUACAAUACAAACGAUGAGGGAAUCACAGUUGUGGGGGCUUAGACACAAAGCUGUAUAUACCAUUUGAGCUGGCAAAUUGGAACCUCUUUUAUUAAGGGCACUAAUUCCACAUAUGAGGCCUCCACCGUCAUGACUCCAACACCUUCCAAAGGUCCCAUCUCCUAAUACCAUUACCUUAGAGAUUAGAUUUCACCGUAGAAAUUUUGGAGAUACACAGACAUUCAGUAUACAGAACUGCUAUGGUAUGGAUAUGGUUUAUUUAGCCCGCCAAGUCUCCUGUUGAAAUUUGAUCCACAGUGUUGGAGGUGGGGCCCAGUAGGAGGUGUUUGAGUAAUGGGAGCAGAUCCUUCAUGAAUGGCUUGCUGCUCUCCUCACGAAAGUGAGUGAAUUUUCACUCUGAAUUCCCAUUAGAACUGGUUGUUGAAAAGAGCCUAGGCUGGGCACAGUGGCUCAUGCCUGUAAUCCUAACACUUUGGGAGACAGAGGCAUAAGGAAUGCUUGAGGCCAGGAGUUUGGACCAGCCUAGACAACAUAGUGAGACCCCAUCUCUAUAAAAAAAAUAGAAACAAUUAACCAGACAUGGUGGUACAUGCCUGUAGUCCCAGCUAAUCAGGAUGUUGAGGAGGGAGGACUGAUUGAGCCCAGGAGGUCGUGGCUGCAGCGAGCUAUGAUUGUACCACUGCACUCCGGUCUGGGCUGCAGAGUGAGACCCUGUCUCUAAAAAAAUAGGAAAAGAACCUGGCAACUCCUUUGCCUUCUCUUUCAUGAUGUGAUGUCUUCUCCUCUUCCUCUUUCAUCAUGAGUGAAAACUUGCUGAGGCCCUCACCAGAAGCAGAUAUUGG